rnacentral:rRNA from 1 species
UUGCCCUAGUAACGGCGAGUGAAGCGGCAACAGCUCAAAUUUGAAAGCUAGCCUUCGGGUUCGCAUUGUAAUUUGUAGAGGAUGAUUUGGGGAAGCCGCCUGUCUAAGUUCCUUGGAACAGGACGUCAUAGAGGGUGAGAAUCCCGUAUGUGACAGGAAAUGGCACCCUAUGUAAAUCUCCUUCGACGAGUCGAGUUGUUUGGGAAUGCAGCUCUAAAUGGGAGGUAAAUUUCUUCUAAAGCUAAAUAUUGGCGAGAGACCGAUAGCGCACAAGUAGAGUGAUCGAAAGAUGAAAAGCACUUUGGAAAGAGAGUUAAAAAGCACGUGAAAUUGUUGAAAGGGAAGCGCUUGCAAUCAGACUUGUUUAAACUGUUCGGCCGGUCUUCUGACCGGUUUACUCAGUUUGGACAGGCCAGCAUCAGUUUCGGCGGCCGGAUAAAGGCUCUGGGAAUGUGGCCUCCACUUCGGUGGAGGUGUUAUAGCCCAGGGUGUAAUACGGCCAGCCGGGACUGAGGUCCGCGCUCGGCUAGGAUGCUGCGUAA